CACCUAAGCAAUGGAGUGACUAUUUAUUUUCGAAGCUGCAUAAAUAUGACCUCUGUUUAAAGCUUUGUGGAGUGGAAAUGCUUAAAUGGAUGUUAGAGCACGAGAUUUAUGAAUAGAUGUUUGAAGUUACUCCAAAAUAAUAUAGUAUUUUUAUCUGAUGAGUUGAUAUGUAUUUAAAGUUUAUUUUCCAAACUUGAAAGUUUCAUUGGAUGUUUUUUGAAAUCUUUUCCAUCCUAUUUGAAAUUGGACAACCUAGUUAUUAUUAUUCAUGAUGUAAUUUAUAUUUUCGAGUUAUAACUUUUGAUUAAUAUUGUUUUAUUUUUUUCUCACUUCUUUGAUGUAUUCUCCAAAAGAUGAAAAUCAUUGAUAUUAGUUAGAAAAAAUUGGUUUUCUAGAAAGAGAUUAUUGGUUGGGAUAGCAUUUGAGUGGGUUCUUCAUCAAUUAAUAUUAUAAUUUAAGAUAAUUGAUCAAAACUAUCAAUACAUAAAAAAUUUCUGAAAACAUCCUUGACUAGUCUAAUAAGUAAAGUCUUGUUAGCUGUGGUUAUAAGAUCUUGCUAUGCAUUAUUGCAUGGUUUUUACUGCUUUUGACCUCU